UCGUCAUCCAUAAUGCCCCUUGUCUUAAAAGAGUGCCCCAUCUCGAUAUGAAUGCUACUCAGCUUAACAUGCAUAUAAAAGUAAUUUCCGCACCUAAACUGGAGACCUUGCGCUGCCAUUCUUCUGAGUUUUGUGCCUCCACCAAAUUCUCGUUCGGCUCCGCGGCUAUCCAGGGAUUACACACCUGUAGCCUAACGACGGCAGUGAGCACUGUCAAAAUUUUAGCCGUGGAGAUGGAGACUCUUUGUCUGGACACAAUUAUUGACUUCAUGAGAUGCUUUCCAUGCUUGGAGAAGUUGUACAUUGAGCCAUUUGGAGUUGGAAGUGCAAACAAUUUGUGGCGUCGUAAACACCGGAAUGUUAUCAAAUCUUUUGACAUCCUCUCAAGACAAUAGUUUUGGGAUAUUAUCGGGGAAAUCCGUCUGUCAUUAACUUUGCCACAUUUUUUGUCUUUAACGCGAGAUUUCUAGAGUUGAUGACAUCUGAGGUUCGUUCCAUGCAAUACAAUCAGGGGUUCUUGGCAGAGCAAGAAUGGACGCUUCAGCUAGAUAAAAGGGCUUCAAAAGGUGCUGAGUUUCAAUUCACAACUGAUCGAUCUAUCCGUGGUAUGCCUCAUUAUCCCCGUGAUUUGGAUUUAACUGAUCCAUUCAAAUUUUGAUGUUGAUGUUGACACAACGGUUAGUCUUUUUAGAGCUAUUCUUGCCUAUCAAGCGAUCUCCUGUUGGCACUAGUCCAGACUUGAGUAAUUUCAGUUUCAUUGUCUGAAGUCCUCAAGUUUUUAUUGGAUGGAACCUUCGGGGUUUGUAAAAGCUAUGUGUGUGCCAUUAGUUUGUGAUAUUUCUCCAGAAUUUAUGA